CUGCAGUGAUGAUUUUAAACUCUCUCUUACUGAAUCAGCUUUUGAAGAAACUUCCUUUACCAGAUUCUGAGUAGC
rnacentral:snoRNA from 1 species